CAGUCGCCGCGGUAAUACGUAGGGCGCAAGCGUUAAUCGGAAUUACUGGGCGUAAAGCGUGCGCAGGCGGUUUGUUAAGACAGAUGUGAAAUCCCCGGGCUCAACCUGGGAACUGCAUUUGUGACUGGCAAGCUAGAGUGUGGCAGAGGGGGGUGGAAUUCCGCGUGUAGCAGUGAAAUGCGUAGAUAUGCGGAGGAACACCGAUGGCGAAGGCAGCCCCCUGGGCCAACACUGACGCUCAUGCACGAAAGCGUGGGGAGCAAACAGGAUUAGAUACCCCGGUAGUCCCUGUCUCUUAUAC
rnacentral:rRNA from 1 species